rnacentral:rRNA from 1 species
AGUGAACGCUGGCGGUAGGCCUAACACAUGCAAGUCGAACGGCAGCACAGUAAGAGCUUGCUCUUACGGGUGGCGAGUGGCGGACGGGUGAGGAAGACAUCGGAAUCUACUUUUUCGUGGGGGAUAACGUAGGGAAACUUACGCUAAUACCGCAUACGACCUACGGGUGAAAGCAGGGGAUCUUCGGACCUUGCGCGUUUGAAUGAGGCGAUGUCGGAUUAGCUAGUUGGCGGGGUAAAGGCCCACCAAGGCGACGAUCCGGAGCUGGUCUGAGAGGGUGAUCCGGCACACUGGAACUGAGACACGGUCCAGACUCCUACGGGAGGCAGCGGUGGGGAAUAUUGGACAAUGGGCGCAAGCCUGAUCCAGCCAUGCCGCGUGGGUGAAGAAGGCCUUCGGGUUGUAAAGCCCUUUUGUUGGGAAAGAAAAGCAGCAGGUUAAUACCCCGCUGUUCUGACGGUACCCAAAGAAUAAGCACCGGCUAACUUCGUG